GGCCUGUUUGAUUUUAUUUUCUUGGUAAAAUAUCCCUGCUUAAAUCCAAUCUCCUGCAACCCUGAUUUUUCAGCCCCCAAAUCCAUUGAUUAUUUGUCCAGUGAAUUUAACGCCGCAACUCUGGAGCCCUACCAGGUUUUCUUUCGAAACUUUCGGCUGAUGAUUCCGUUUUUCAGCCUAGUUGUACCUUGAUUUGCGCUAGACAACCAUCCAUGGAUUGAAGGCGUCUCUCGUCACCGUCAGAUCAGUUUCAUUGUUCAUCACUUUAAGUAAGUCCUCAUUGCUACCGUGUAUGAUUUGAUCUGCCAAAGAAGAACAGGAACUUUUUGGAUGGGCAUAUUUUCUAGAAGAAAAACAUACUAUGGGUAGGGGUUCAAACUCCACUCGUUGCACCCUGCCAUUGAUCAAGACUUGCGAGGUCAAAAUCAAUUGUCCAUGGCUGAACAGUGAGAUAGUGUCCAAACACUAUCCAAGGGCUUUGAGUCAGAGCCAAGUCAUAAUCUUCCCUGCUCUAGAAUCGGACAAGGUUAUAACCAUUCUCGACAUCCAUCAGGUGAAAAAGGUUGAGAGGGUCUCCAAAGGCUUGAAAUGUGAUCGUGCAAAACUCCAUAACCAAUAUUGCGUCCCAACAAUUUGACGACAAUGGUAGUUUCCAUAUCCUUAACCAAAACCUCUCUUAACCUUUUUUGAGAAAUCAAUGGCAGGGAUUCCAUUGAUGGAGGAUCGAAGAAUAUUGCCAUAUUCUAUUUCAAGAUUCGCAUUAGUAACACCAUUGCAAGAUUCAAAACCUUUCCCUUCCAAAAGCUUCUCUUUCCAAGAAACUCUACUCAUUGGGCUUGAGUCUACCAUCAUGAAUUCUGAUGGAUCCCUUCCCACCUCCUUAAACCAAACUUUUUUGGUGUUACGACCCUCAUUGGUGCCAAUUUCGUCACCAAUUCGGUCAGCAGACAAUACUUUGGAUAUAUCAUGAAAAAUUAAGUUCAAAUGAUUUUAUAUAUGAUGAUAUUUGUUCAAUUUUAAUAUUAUAAAUUGAUUUAGAUUUAUUUUUGGAAGCCUUUUCUUUUAAAUAAACAGAUUUUGGGCUAAAUUAGGCUUAUAUACCAUUUCUUUUAUUGGUAUUUUAAGCCAUUUUUUCUAAAUUAGGUAAAUAUGUCAUAUAUGGAGAUAAAGUGUAUAAAAGCGCGACUAGCUCUCCAUUGGUUUUUUAAACGUUGAUAAUGGUAAAACUAUUUAAAAUGGCCAACAAUAA